GUGGGUAUAGCUCAGUGGUAGAGCACAUGCUUAGCAUGCUUGAGGUUUUGUUUGGGUUCAAUUCCCAGUACCUCCA
rnacentral:tRNA from 1 species